UGUUAAGGUCCCUGGCUGUACCUCCAUCUAGGGACCAGACAUGGUGGCCACUUCCAGGAGCAGUGAGAAGCCAAGGCAGGCAGGGAACCUGCUUUAGCCCCGCUGUGCUGCUAAGACCUGCCUGAGUCCCAGGUUGCAACAGGUGUAACAAACCAGAUCGAGAUGCUGCCGCACCUGAUCCUGGGACCAACCCUUUAUUAACCAGUUGUCGAGGUGCCCAGCCAGGGAGUGCCCCGGGACCUAGUCUGUGGAGACAGAGAAGGCGGGGGGAGGGGGGCAGAAUGGCUCCCUGGCCUACUGAAGAGUAUGGAGGUUCAAGGAGUGGAAGGUAACACAGGAGUCUUUAAGGCCAUGGAGUCUCAAGUCUGUGAGCUUGGAGUAGAGCCCCAUCACCUCAAAUGGGAGGUCCUGAAUAGUGGCCUGCAUCUCCUGGAACAACCCGAAGGACUGCAAUCAGGAGCUGUGCCUCAUGGCCACCACGGAGGCGACCAACCUGACUCAGCGACAUCCCAGGCCAUCUAAAGGGCCCCCCUUGCCACCGCUGAGCCUUCAUCCACCAAAACUGAGAACUCCUGGGCUCGGUCCUGCGGGAAGGCUUCCUUAAAUUUGUUAAGGAAGUCUCACAGGUUAAAACUGUACUUGCCUAAGAGGGGCUGUGGUUAGACACCCGAAAUUGCAGGCUGGCUGUGGAAUAAAUCUUUCUGCCUAACAAGUCCAGUCUCUUGGAGUCUGUUUUUCAGAGUGCCACUGACUUGGCCCUGCCUCUUCCUUUCAUUAACAGCAGACAUGACUAGUGACGCCGCUGGAGGAUGUGUAUACAGAUAUUCUAACCCUUUUGCAUGGACGUAAUACUUCUAAGGUGGCGGAAAAGUAGUAGGCAGAAUCAA